ACCAGGAAGUGUAUACGUCUCCAACAUGGCAACCCUCGACGUCCACGUCCGAAUAUGUGAACAAGAAAUAUUGAAAUAUGACUUAGAAGUCAAAGCGCUCAUCCAGGAUAUCACCGAGUGCAAAGGUCCUCAGAGCAAGCUUACUGAACUCAACACUAACGUGAAAAAGGGUUUGCAAAAUCUACGAUUACUUAUACAAGAUUUGGAGCAGAUGGCGAUGGAGCAAGACAAAGAGUCUGACAAACAGGCCUUGAUCCGUCAGGUAGAGGGACACAGGAAACAGAUGCUGAGCAACCAGACCGCGUGGAGGAAGUCCAACCUGGCCAGUAAAUUGUCAAUCGACAAUAUGGAGAAGCAGGCGCUCCUUGACGGAGCUGAUAGUGGCGCAAGACAGAGGAAGUCAACCAAAGAGGACAUGGCUGAGACGUCCAGUGACAUUACAAAGAACCUGAUGAGCAUCAGUCGAAUGAUGGCCCAGCAGGUUAACCAGAGCGAGGAGACGAUGACAGCAUUAGCUACAUCAUCCAGGACCAUCCAAGACACCAAUGACGAAUUUAAGACCAUGUCAGGGACCAUCAAGUUGGGAAGGAAACUUAUCACCAAGUACAACCGCAGGGAGCUAACUGAUAAACUGCUCAUCUUUCUUGCAUUGGCCCUCUUCCUCGCCACUGUUCUUUACAUCCUGAAGAAGAGAAUAUUUCCUUUCUUUUGAGGAGUGCAAGACCACCUCCACUGCUCCACUAUACCAACGCUUUGCCGUAAACCGCAGUUGCGAAGCCCCCGCAUUUGGGCCCCUGGCGGAGGUCCUCGUCGAACAGCGGCAUGAGCGACGGCGCGUCCCGCAGAGGUUCCUGCUUGAGGCGGGCCGGCGCGCAGCAGGACGCAUGAGUGCAGGACGCAUGAGUGCAGCAUGAGUCCAUGCGGGAAGACUGCAAGUCCAGGGAGGACAAGAGGUCGUGGCUGUUCUCCAGGUUUAAUAUGUCCUUCACGGAGAAGGGAGUGGACGUGCUGGGGCUUGGAAACAUGCUCAACAACUGUUAAACUGUCACCUGCAGCUCACGACAAGGACUUCUUCUCCUUCCUGGUAAUGUUUACUAGAUCACAUCUCCAGCCCAGAUAAAGACGCAGAUAAGCCUUGCUUAAAAACUUCCGCUGCACCAAUGAUAACAACCACAUCCUGGGUGAAGACAUUUAACUAACCCCUGGGAUAGGCUCCAGCCCUGGCAACCCCAGUAGAAAUCGGAUGGAUGGAUCUUUUCCAUCAACUUUACCAAGAAGAUGAGGCAAGAGCACUACUAAUAGACAAAUAGGGUGACAUAAUAACGCCGCGGCUUGGUUACCACUUUUGGCCCGACACACAUCAUGAGCACUGCUGUCUGUGCACGUCUCUGGUCAAGGAUGGGCUCUCUGCUUUCCAUCAGCCUUGCACACAAACAAACACUGUUGACUUACUCCGCACCCAUUUUCACCGCUUUUUAAUUGGGUGGCAACCCUGACAGUAUUUAGAACAUCGAACAUGGUGUUGUCAUCUUGGCACUCGCGCUCUGGCUGACAGAAUCAAGUUUGUUCCAGCCCAUUAUUCCCAGGCUUUGACAGCCGGGGACUUGGUACCCACAGCAUGGACAGUCAACAAGAUGUGUGUGGAGAAAGAAGGACGGGUGC